ACGUAGCCGCCACCUCUACUAUCUUAGCGCUAGCUGUUACCGCAGGUGGGUUAGGGUAGGGGGCAGGGGAGGGUAAACUAGCUACCCCCACCCCUGUCAGUAUUCUAAAAGUCGGGAUGCCGCGGUGGGUCAUGUGACCACCGGUAUCCCAACCGCCGGCAUUUUGUAUCACAUCCCAAGGCAUACCACUAUACUUAGGGCACUGUCGUUGAAUAAAUCAUUAAGUGUAUCUACGGCAAAGCCUUAGCAUCGUUUGUGGCAGAGCGCCUGACGUCACACGGAUUAAACUUUUACAUAUACAAAUGCGUCACUGGGACUCCGGGAGCAAGCAGUUCAUUGAGAGAAGGGAAAUUCUAGGGAGGAUUGUGCCCUCUACUGGCAACACACUGGAAUGGUAUACAGUUCCCGUCAGGCUCAUCUUUCACCACGUCCCAUCUGUAUAGAAGAAAUGUAUUCCGUUAGUAAAUGGAAAUCACCGCAGACAUCAUCGCCAAUCUCUCACAACAGGCAGAAAUGCCGAUACAUUAUAGAAUAAUAUGAAAAAGAAAA